rnacentral:rRNA from 1 species
UACGAAGGGGGCUAGCGUUGCUCGGAAUCACUGGGCGUAAAGGGUGCGUAGGCGGGUCUUAAGUCAGAGGUGAAAUCCUGGAGCUCAACUCCAGAACUGCCUUUGAUACUGAAGAUCUUGAGUUCGGGAGAGGUGAGUGGAACUGCGAGUGUAGAGGUGAAAUUCGUAGAUAUUCGCAAGAACACCAGUGGCGAAGGCGGCUCACUGGCCCGAUACUGACGCUGAGGCACGAAAGC